AUUGAACGCUGGCGGCAUGCUCUACACAUGCAAGUCGAACGGUAACAGGCCGCAAGGUGCUGACGAGUGGCGAACGGGUGAGUAAUGCAUCGGAACGUGCCCAGUCGUGGGGGAUAACUACUCGAAAGAGUAGCUAAUACCGCAUACGAUCUAUGGAUGAAAGCGGGGGACCGUAAGGCCUCGCGCGAUUGGAGCGGCCGGUGUCAGAUUAGGUAGUUGGUGGGGUAAAGGCUCACCAAGCCAACGAUCUGUAGCUGGUCUGAGAGGACGACCAGCCACACUGGGACUGAGACACGGCCCAGACUCCUACGGGAGGCAGCAGUGGGGAAUUUUGGACAAUGGGCGCAAGCCUGAUCCAGCAAUGCCGCGUGCAGGAAGAAGGCCUUCGGGUUGUAAACUGCUUUUGUACGGAACGAAACGGCUCUGGUUAAUACCCGGGGCUAAUGACGGUACCGUAAGAAUAAGCACCGGCUAACUACGUG
rnacentral:rRNA from 1 species